UAGUUAUCGUACAUCUGCCCACGCUUCCUCCCCGCCACGCCCCCUCCCCGCCACACUGUAAACAAACCCCCGGUGAUGACGGGCGGCAAGGUGGAUUUCGCCCUCAUCAGGGAGGCCACACGGCUGGAGCUGGUGAAGCUGCUCGACACUGUCCACGGAACCAAGGCCAUUGUGUGGGAUGAAAAGCUUGCAGGCCCCUUCAGCCAGGUGGCAGACUAUGCCUUCCUGCGCUCCCAUGACGUGUGCAAAAUGUACUACAUCAACAAGAGCAAACUGCCGACCAACAAUGUGGCCCACAUAAUCUUCCUCUCCAGGGCACACACGCAACUCAUGGACCUUAUCAACCAGCAGCUGAGAAUGGAGGAGGCCCUUGGAUCAGGGAGGAAAGACUACCACCUGUGGCUGGUGCCCCGAGUCUCCCUUCUGUGUGAGCAGCGGCUGGAGGAGCAUGGAGUCCAUGGCUCCUUCGCCUCCAUCAGGGAAUUGCCACUUCUGCUGUACCGCCUCGACAGUGACCUUGCCUCCAUGGAGCUGCCAAUGUGCUACCGGGACCUUCAGCUGUAUGGUGACCCGACUUGCCUCUUCUUGGUGGCCCAGGCACUCAUGACCAUCCAGGGCGUGUUUGGUCUUAUCCCCAAUAUCUACGGCAAGGGGGCAGCAGCCAAGCAGGUGUACGAGCUGAUGGUGAGGAUGAGACGGGAGAUGGGCGGCAAUGAACCCCAGGUGACGCCACAGAUUGACCAGCUGAUCCUCAUCGACCGCUCAGUGGACCUCAUCACACCUCUGGCAACACAGCUCACCUAUGAUGGGCUCAUUGACCAGUUUUUUACCAUAAAUAGCUGCACAGUCAAGCUGCCAGGUGAGAAGUUUGCGGCACAGUCCGGCUCUGACUCCACCCCAAUGGACAGCUCCUUCUCCGAGAUCAAGACAAUACAGCUCAACCCCUCCGAGGAACUGUACGCCGAGAUCAGGGACUGCAACUUCUCCGCCGUGGGUCCGAGGCUCUCCCACCACGCCAAGUCGGUGGUGACCCAGUACGAGGAGAGGCACGCUGCCAAGACCGUCGGGGAGCUGAAGGAGUUUGUGCAGAAGAUCCCACAGAUUGGAGUGUACAAGCAGAGUGUGGCAACCCACACGGCCAUCGCAGAGUUAAUCCAGGAGAGGAUCACCAAGGGGAUCUUCUGGCCUGCUCUCCAGAUGGAACAGGAAUUCUUAAAAGGAUUAGAUACUGAUAAAGUUAAUCCCUUUGUGGAGCAGUGUAUUGCGCAGAAGGAAUCCCUUAAUACCGUGCUGCGGCUCAUCUGCCUGCAGUGCACGGUCAACAACGGCCUCAAGCCCCGGGUGCUGGAGGCCUACAAGCGUGACAUUAUCCACACGUACGGCUACCAGCACUUCAUCACCCUGGAGAACCUGGAGAAGGCCGGCCUGCUGUACGCCCACCAGGGACGUAGCACCUACGCCGUCGUGCGCAAGACCCUGCAGCUCACUGUGGACGACGUCAGUGAGCACAACCCCACCGACAUCGCAUACGUCCACUCGGGGUACGCACCCCUGAGUGCCCGGCUAGUGGAGUUCCUGCAGGUGCCGGGGUGGCGCGCCAUCACGGGGGUGCUGCAGGUGUUGUCUGGCCCCACCCUCACCGAGACGCAGCAGCUGCCCAGCGCUCUCAGGCAGAGGAGAGGGUCUGGGGGCUCGAUGCACAGUGGGCUGGAGGGAGGCACGGCGCUGGUCUUCUUCAUCGGCGGCUGCACCUACUCUGAGAUUGCCGCCCUUCGCUUCCUCUCCUCCCGGGUGGACCAAGGUGGGCCGGAAUAUAUCAUCGCCACCACCAAGAUAAUCAACGGCAACACCUUCCUCGAGUCCAUCGCCGAGCCGCUGCCCACCUAGGCUUCCCUCGGGUGAAUACAGGCGAGGUGCUGGCUGGAUGGAAGCCUCAGGAAGACAAUGUGUCCGGGUUGAUGGGUGGCCUUCAGGACAGCAUGUGGGUAGUCUUAGGCCACUCGGCGGUGACUGAAAAAUCCCAGGUCGCAGCGUGCAGAUUUGAACCCGCGUCAUCCAGCACGUAGUGAAUGCGGGGCCUGCACGCUAACCACUCAGCCACCGCCUACCGUUGGAAGCUACCAUUGAUUUUUUGAGUCAGCAAUAACCAAUAUCAUUUCCAAUAGUCCAAUAGCCUGACCCUGUUCUGUACAAGAUUUCAACUAACCACUCUUACGGGUUAUUGGCUAUACUAUCUAAUAAUAGUUCAUGGUUUAGAAGCUGUCAUUGGGUUUUUGGGUUGUUAAUAACUGGCAUCUCUUAGUAAUGGAGAGCUUGGCAAGGCAUGAUAGUGGAGGUACAGUGCAUGGAUGAUCUAGACUUAAGAUUUGUUACUGCAUGUCUGUUGAAGGAAAGUUUAAUAGACUAAGUAAAUCGUAAAUGAUUAGAAGAGUAACCAAGAGUUGCCUGCUCUGUACAUGUAUGCAAGUAAGGCUUCAGAUGUAUAUUCUUGUUAAUAAUUAUCUAUACGACUUAAUAUAUUUUGUAAUUUUAUAUACUCGGACACAUGUAUUACCUCCUUUCAUACAUCAAUAAUGCUUGCUGGCUUCUCUUAACCCGGUAGCAGCGAGGAUCACAUUUCUUAAUGGUCCCUCUAAGCGAGAAAAAUGAGAAAAAAUCAUCUCUCACACAAACCAUUUCAUAAUAUAUAUCAAAGCAUUUGUGAUCAGUUUAUGCAUCAUCUAUUUUGGGGGGGUUAUAUCAUGGCACAAAUUUGGUCCGUCGCUGCUACACGGUAAAGCCACAAAUUUGGCCCGUCGCUGCUACCAGGUUAAUUAUGGUGAAUCAAGCAAUCAGGUGAAGGAGAUUAUAUUGUGUAGGAUCUGAGGGGGGUGGGGAUGCCAGACUAAGGUAUGUUUGCCAGCUUGAACACACCACUCCAUUUAGUACUCACUAGCUUAGAUUUCUGAUGCUCUGUCCCCUUCACCACACAAUUCAGGAAGAUUUCUGAUGCUCUGUCCCCUUCACCACACAAUUCAGGAAGAUUUCUGAUGCUCUGUCCCCUUCACCACACAAUUCAGGAAGAUUUCUGAUGCUCUGUCCCCUGCACCACACAAUUCAGGAAGAUUUCUGAUGCUCUGUCCCCUGCACCACACAAUUCAGGAAGAUUUCUGAUGCUCUGUCCCCUUCACCACACAAUUCAGGAAGACUUUACACUAAGGUUGGUAUUAUAAGACACUUUCGGUUCUCACAACUAUUUCGAAAGGUCAAAGAGGGGAUCAACUGGGUUCUAAUGAGUGUUUUUUGAGGUUCACGGUACAGAAGACGGGUCACUCUACCACCAAGAUCAUAAAACUACUCCUGAAAAUUACCCAAACUCGUACGAAAGCCUUGUCAAAUAUGUGAACUUGGGCGACGAAAUGUUUUGAAAUACAACUCUAAAUGCCUCAUAUAUUCUCAGGAUGUCUCAUAAACCCUUCCUGACUGCCAACUUUGUCAUAAACCUUCUCUGGGUCCGUAAAAGCAGCCAACAGCUUCUUGCUUUCCUCUAGGUACUUUUCAUCCAGCAUUUUCCGUGUAAAGAUCUGUGACCAUUUUCUCCAAUGCUUCGCCGCUCACAAGUUCACAUUUGAUAGGGCUUUCGUAUAAGUUUGGGGCAUUUCCAGAUGUAAUUAAAUGACCCUGGUGGUAGUUUGACCCUUCUCCUGUGCCCUGAACCUUAAAAAACACUCUUGAAAACCUGAUUGAUCUCCUUUUUGGCCUUUGGAAAUAGUUGAUGUGAUAGGCGGAAGCGUCUGAGAACACCGACUCUGGUCCACACAUCCCUAUCCUAAACCCACUUUUUAGUACUUCUAUCAGAAAAAAAAAUACUGGUAAACUGAGCUUAACCCGGUAGCAGCAGGGAUCAUGUUUCUUAAUGGUCCCUCCAAGCUAGAAAAAUGAGAAAAAAUCACCCCUCACACAAACCAUUUCAUAAUAUAUAUCAAAGCAUUUGUGAUCAGAUUAUGUAUCAUCUAUUUUGGGGGGUAAAUAUCAUGGCACAAAUUUGGCCUGUCGCUGCUACAUGGUGAAGCCACAAAUUUGGCCCGUCGCUGCUACACGGUGAAGCCACAAAUUUGGCCUGUCACUGCUACCGGGUUAAUUUCCUCUUAUAGUUUUCCUCUUUCCUUAUUUUGGGAUGACUUACCUGACUCUUUAUUCCAUUCCACUGUUUUUCUCCUUCCCUCUCCUCCUCGUUUUCAAUUAUUCUUUUGUUUUAUACCACGUCUCGGCUACAUAAAUGGAAUGGUGUACAUGGAGGAAUUGGCAGACAGACACAUAUUAUAGUUGACUGAUGGUGCAGUAAAGGUAGGAUGAGUUGAGUCCAUAUUGUUAAACGUAUUGGCACCUCAUAAUGACUGUUUGAAAAGACUCUCGUAGAAGUUGCAAGAUUUUUCAUGGCCUGUUUUGUGUUCCUAGCUACAGCUUUACGUAACUUCUGCAUCUUGAGUGGAAAAAUCGCCCAUGAGAACCCGGUUAGUAUACCAUGUGGCCUUGGGAAAUAGUUGUAGUGGAACACACACACACACACACACACACACACACACACACACACACACACACACACACACACACACACUAACUAUCACUGUAAGGGAUUGUCAAUGAAAAAGAGGAACAUUCUAGUGUAGGUUAGGUUAGGUUAGGUAAGGCAAAGUUAGCUAAGGUAAAGUUAGAUUAGGUAAAGUAAGUGAUUAACCCGAUAGCACCGAUGGGCCAAAUUUGUGCCAUGAUAUAAACCUCCCAAAAUAAAUGAUACAUAAUCUGAUCACAAAUGCUUUGAUAUAUAUUAUGAAAUGGUUUGUGUGAGGGAUGAUUUUUUUCUCAUUUUUUCGCCUGGAGGGAACAUUAAGAAACAUGAUCCCCGCUGCUACCAGGUUAAGAAUAUGAAACUGGGUUGGUAUUAGACACUUCUGGCUCUCACGUCAGUUAUUUCCAAAGGCCAAAUAAAAAGACUAUACAUAUUCUCAUGAGUGUUUUAACAUUCAUAGUACAGAAGCUUUGUCAAACUACCACCAGGGGCAUAAAACUACCCAUGGAAAGGCCCACAACUUCUAGAAAGGCCUUGUCAAAUGUGUGCAUGAGUGCCAAAAUCUUUAAGAAUAUGUCCCCAUAGCAUAUUGUGAGCUGGCAACACUUGAAUCAUCCUCAGCACUGUGCUAUUAGUAAGUAAGGCUAUUGAAGCAGUGUAUUGUAUAGUACUAAUUUAAGAUGAUCACAAUGUUAGGCAAUUACAGAGAGAGAGAGAGAGAGAGAGAGAGAGAGAGAGAGAGUGUGUGUGUGUGUGUGUGUGUGUGUAAAAAAUACAUUCCAUUAUCACA